UUCUUAUCUAGAGCGGUGGAGGGACUGGCCCUAUGAUACCCGGCAACCUUAAUCUCCUUGAUUAAACGGUGCUAAUUCCAGCAGAGCAAAUAGGUUCUGAAAGAUAAGAG
rnacentral:ncRNA from 2 species